GCAACAUCAUGUUGAAACACCAGUUCCCAUAUGAUCACCAAAGUUAAGCAACGUCGAGCCUGGUCAAUAGCUGGAAGGGUGACAGCUUGGGAAAACCAGAUGCUGUAA